ACCAUCAUCGUCUAGUGGUUUAGGAUACCAGAUUUUCACUCUGGGGACCGGAGUUCGAACCUCCGUGAUGGUG